rnacentral:tRNA from 1 species
GCGGGGAGAGCUCGGCGGUUUAGCAGCAGACUGUGAAUCUGAAGAUCGUGGGUUCGAAUCCCAUUCCCCGCC